rnacentral:lncRNA from 1 species
GAGGCGUCCCUCUGGAAGGACACGGCCAAAAUGGCCUUCCGCCACGACCACGACUCCGGCUCCGACUCGCCGUAAGCGUCCACCUCACAUCGCCUCGCCAAUCAAUUCUCUUGCACGCAAGGUGGAGACGCUCGUGACGACGAGUAACUCUCUUGACCGUUCUUCUCUCUGAAACUUUAUGUGCAGAUGAGGAAUUUCGUGCAGUACUUUUUGUCGCCAUUGAUCAUCGAUCGGCCGUACAUUGUACUCAUGGAUGAAGGUGGAUUUUGGGGAUUUAAUGCAUGGAUGAAGAAGCAGGCAAUCGGGCUUCGGGAUGGGUGGCCGACUGUAGGAUGGGCCUUAUGUACAAUGUGUCACCACUGUUAGCAACUUAUAGCUGGAGCUGUUCAUACCGCCAGGGUUUAGAGUCAUAGCACUGUAGGUUACAUGGGCAUGGCCGGGAGUAGGAUGGAACAGCAGGGUAGGAUAUGCUCAGCUAGCAGCCUCACUGAUGAUUUCGAUAUCCAUGUAAUUGGAGUACAGUGUUGGGAGUUCAUGCAUAUCACUCGUAUGCAGUUUCAGAAUUAGUGCAGCAAUGUGACAGCCUGCUCUUAGUAAGAAAUUGUCGGCCUUUUUACAGAUAUAUAUGAUCAUUUGAAAGGAUUUCUUUUGCAGCAAUUUACAUAUCGGCGGCACCUUUUUAUGAAACAAUGUCAGUUUUUUGGUACAAUGCUGUUUCGGUCACUUGCAUGAAGUGAUUUUUCAGGCACCUUUUUGUCUGUUUAGGGUCUGCCAUCCCAUUUAACCAUAAAACCGGCGACUGUAGGUUUGCAAGAAUUCAGAGACAAGACAUAUAUAAGAGGAUUCGGCUAUGAAAUAUAAUUGGUUUAACCAUGAUUUGGGGGAUGUUAUUACCUUUCUGGCUUCAGACGUCACCCUGUCAGCAAAUAAUUUGCUUAGAGGAACUGAACCACUGAAAACAGCACACCCACCUAAAGUCUUGAGGUAGAGCAGAACGCUUGCCAUGGCUAGAGCACCUGUGGAGACAGAAUGGAAAUCAAAUUCGCAUAAGUGUUGUCUUGAAACCAGAAAUGAUUAGAUGCAUAUUUCACAGCCGUACCUCUUGGCUUAAUCCACAAACGAAAAUGUUUCUAGGAGACUAGGACUCGUCUCGUCAGCCACUUCUUUGUCUAACAUUUCUUGCACAUGCUAGGACUCCUUCCGCAUCUCUAACAGUGGUCUAAGAAACAAAUUGGGAACAAUGAGAAAAUCAUAUAAUGCUAGAACUCUCUAAAAUGAAAACGUGUUAGCCUGUACAUGUUUAGCGACUGGGAACAGUUUAUCUGUUCUUCAUCCAAUUUUGUGGUCUAAUACAAUGAUACAGAAGUACUGGAACAAGAAACAACAAUCCGCUAUGCUCAGUGUAUCCAGGCUCGAGUUAAUCUGUUUUUAUAACAUUACAACACUCACCGAUGUGCUUGAAUAAGGAUUCCAUGCACUUGGUGCAAGAGGUUCAUUAUAGUGCAAAGGGCUAUAAAACUUGCUUUCUAUUUAAAAUAUUCAAACAGAGAUUUCUGACGCUGAUGAGAAAAAUCUUGCUUUGUAUUUGAAAUAUUCAAACAGUGAUGGGAAAAAUGAUGUCAUAUCAUUCUAUAAAUUAACAGUGAAAAGAUACUAAACAUCAUUAGUCUUGAACAAUAUUAACUUUGUAUUGACCUACAAAUAGCACUCUGGCAGUUCCACUUUACAGAUUAUUUGCUGGAGGGGGAGCACUGCAAGAAUCAAACUGUUAAACAAGCUUGAUUUCUGAUUCAUGUAUACUCUGAAGCAACGGCAAAUAACACUAACCAAUUAUUUAGCAACAAAUAUGACUCAUUGAAGAGAGAUUGCGAAUGGAAGAAUGAGUUGGAAUAUGUAUUGUGAUUCCUUGAACAAUGAUGUUACAAAGUGUNNNNNNNNNNNNNNNNNNNNNNNNNNNNNNNNNNNNNNNNNNNNNNNNNNNNNNNNNNNNNNNNNNNNNNNNNNNNNNNNNNNNNNNNNNNNNNNNNNNNUAUGGGGUGGCGGGGUUACGACAGUUACAUGGUUGCUUUGUGGUCAGGGUGGUGCAUGCGGGGGCGGCGGUGCCGGACGCUGGAUGUACGCUGAGUCAACGGCCUCGGAUGGCCAUGCAACAAUGGUCCUAUGGGGUACACCCGUGGCUCUAUUGAAUAACCUAGAGGCAAUAGUAAAAUAGUAGUUAUUAUUAUAUUUCCUUGUUUAAGAUAAUCAUUUAUUAUCCAUGCUAAAAUUGUAUUGAAUGGAAACUCACAUACAUAUGUGGAUACAUAGACAACACUCUCUCCCUAGUGAGCUUCUAGUUGACUAGCUCAUUGAUCAAAGAUGGUUAAGGUUUCCUAGCCAUAGACAAGUGUUGUCACUUGAUAACGGGACCACGUCAUUGGAAGAAUGAUGUAAUGGACAAGAUCCAAACUAUGAACGUAUCAUGUGAUCAUGUCAGUUUUAUUGGUACUGUUUUUCUGCAUGUCAAGUAUAUGUUCCAAUGACCAUGAGAUCAUGUAACUCACUAACACCGGAAGAAUACCUUAUGUGUAUCAAACGUCGCAACAUAACUGGUGACUAUAAAGGUGCUCUACAGGUAUCUCCGAAGGUGCCCGUUGAGGUAGCAUGGAUCAAGACUGGGAUUUGUCACUCCAUAUGACAGAGAGCAUAUCUCGGGGCCCACUCGGUCUUACAAUAUCACAAACAAGCCUUGCAAGUAUCAUGACUAAAGAGUUAGCCACGGGNNNNNNNNNNNNNNNNNNNNNNNNNNNNNNNNNNNNNNNNNNNNNNNNNNNNNNNNNNNNNNNNNNNNNNNNNNNNNNNNNNNNNNNNNNNNNNNNNNNNACAAUGAGGCCUUUAGGAAGGAAUGCGACGCCAUCAUCGGCACCAAACAAGCAAGUGCAAGGCAUUCGCCCGGAGCUCCUCCUUCACCGACGAGCCACACAAGGAAGCCCAGAGCAUACGAGCGCCGCAAACUGAGCAGUGAGUAGGGGGCAUCGUUGACGACCACCAAUCCACAACUUCCUCGUAGGCCGAAGACCUAUCUCCACAACCACCGAAGCACACACACCCAGUAUGCGCCGCCGCCACGCCUCGUCCAUAACUGCAUCUCACCGCCGCCGCCGCAGGUCAACAAGGCAAGGGAGGACCCCCCCUGCACGUGAGGGCUCNNNNNNNNNNACCGCUGCCACAGGAGCACAUCCGAGCGUCACCAUCGAUGGAUCUGGGAGUUGGACCCAUGACAGUCAGCGAGAGCACGUUCCCACCCAAUCCCACGCAAGGGAGGAAGAGGAAAGUGCCUCCACCAUGUCCGGGGCCGCCGCCCCCGCUUGCCAUCUCCGAUGAGGCGCAGACGCCAUAAGGGAAGCCAGAUUCGGGCGGAUCUGACCCCUCUGUGUGAGCAACUCCAAGGAGCGGGAGAGCCUCCACAACCCGCAAACUCCGCCAUUGGAGCGCCCAUCACAAGCGCCCUCACAGCCACCGCAACUGCCUUCGCCGCGCACUCCCGUAUCCUUCACGACGACGCCACCGCGCGCCCGCGAACCUCACAGCCGGGUCCACCACAGCUCUCCCGCGCCACCGCGGCGAAGCCGACGACAACGGCGGGGGGGGGGGGGGGGGNNNNNNNNNNNNNNNNNNNNNNNNNNNNNNNNNNNNNNNNNNNNNNNNNNNNNNNNNNNNNNNNNNNNNNNNNNNNNNNNNNNNNNNNNNNNNNNNNNNNNNNNNNNNNNNNNNNNNNNNNNNNNNNNNNNNACGGACUAGGUUCCCUCGAGUCGCCCCAGGAGGAGCAACGCAGGGUCGGGGUCUGGUUGUGUGUCGCCUCCCUUUCUUUCUUUUCCUGGUUUCUUUACAAGACAUGUGUGUUGUGCAAAAUUCCGCGAAGAAGAUAACUUUUGUAGUGGUGAGGAUUGAAAACACAAAAUGAGGACUCUAAAAAACCUUCCUUGAAGCAUUUCGGUCUGCAUGUUUUUUUUUUUCAUCUAAAGAGUCAGAAAUGUAAUUUAUUGACCGGAAAUAUUUGUGUAUAUUUUUUGGGAAUCCACUGUUCAGCCAGAAGAAUGGCAUUUUGGAGUCAAAUUAGUCCUUUUGUUGUGUCGAGAAAAUGCCGCGGUGAAGGCCCAACACGACGCGUGUGCCACCCGGUCAAGUCUAGGUCUAGCCGCCGCUCCCCUCCCCACCCCCAGGGGAUUUAUCCUCUCUUCCUCUCCAGUCUCCUCCUCCAUCUCCAUGCUCUUCCUGCCUCGGAGUCGGAGACCCUUUACAAUAAUUACUUACUUGGAGCAUCUCUAGCAGACCCUUGACAACCGGGCCUGGAUCUGGAUCCGGAUCCAUCUCUUCUCCCCUCCCCCGCGCCGGAUCGCGCAUCGGCUUGGAGGCCCCUCGGGGCUGCCGCCGGUGCGGGAGGCGUCCGCGGCCGUGCGAGCUGGGAACAGAGCGGCGGGUUUCGAUCGAGGGCUUUCUCGGGCCGGCGCGGGAUCUGAGCCGCCGUCCAUGGAUUUCUCGCAGCUUGGGUUUGGUACUAUCCCCACCUCUCUCUCUCUCCCUCCCUCGGCGUUGACGCGCGCGCACCUAAACCGGAUCAGGCGAGCGCUCGUUGCCUGAUCGCUCAACCAUCGUCCCUGGUCGGCUGACGCCAGGUAUGAGCAGCUCCUGAGCCUGGUCGCUCGAUGCGUGCACGCACGCAUGUAUGCAUAUAUAUACUCCCUCUGUAAAGAAAUAUCAUGGUCAUGUUGCUUGGUGUGGAAUUGUGGCUGAAACAAUCAUGUCUUGGGCAAUCAAGACAGCCGUGGUGGUGGGUACUAAAUAAGAGCGUCUACGACCGGACUUAUUGACCCAUCAUUUGUACCGCCCUCUCAGUUCCCCGUCAGCUACGGUGCCGCCAGCCAUCGACAUUCCAUUGCCUGGGAUCCGGUUGUGGCGUGGGCUGGGAGCCGUACGGUGUUGUUGUCUGAUGUGUGCUGGAGGGUUUGGUCGGUCGAGGCCAGGUAUGAGCAGCUCCUGAGACUGAUGGAUGGAUGAUGUAUGCAUGCAUGAUACUAUGGUCAUGCUGGGACCGGAUUCACUGUUUUGACCCUAUUUGGAGAAGUUCAGCACAAAAUGAACCAUGUUGGAAGCUUAUCUGGGGCGAUGAUGAUGAAACAUGGCUGACAUAAACUUGUCUUCGGGCACCAAAAACACACUCCCCCUUCUUUUGAAACCUUUUCAUUCUCACAGAAUAUUGACGGCUCUGUCUUGGAUGGUCAUUCUGUUGAGUGAUAACCAGAGGAGCUCGACUACAAUUUUGGGGGCUGAUCUGGUGAAAGAAGAUGGUGGAGCUAGGUUGUAUGAUCUAUCAAAGGCGAAUCUGAGCCCUCUCAAAUCUCAAUGCAACUAAUAUUGUGGCCUCUACACUUUUAUUUACUUCUAUCACCUCUUUAUGUUUAAAAGUGAUGAAUUGUCGUGGUUGUGGCAUUUGCUAUCUCAUUAGGAGCAGCUGCUCACAAAUCACCUCUCGUGGUGUUUGGUUUGCUUUCUCAUGAUUUUGUUUUCCAUGGUGGGAACCACUUCGGUGCAUUCGGGCUUUUUCUUUUCGGUUUUACUUUUCCUUGAAUGGUUGUGAUAAUUCUACUGUCCCUUGGAUAGCUUUUGAGAUUAUCUUAUUGGGUUGGGGGUCAGUUUGCUUGUUUGAAUUGCUAUUUGGCUUUUGAUAUUGUCAUCCUUCUAUACGCUUUAUGUACUUAUUAUCAGUUUGCACUUUUGGCACUCCCCACUUCUUUACUGGUUUCAACUUAAGGGUCGAUGGAUUUUGGCAGCUUGGCUGCAUGUUGCUUCGGAUUCGGUACUGUCACCAUCUUCCUCUGCCCCCCCCCCCCCCCCCCCCCCCCCNNNNNNNNNNNNNNNNNNNNNNNNNNNNNNNNNNNNNNNNNNNNNNNNNNNNNNNNNNNNNNNNNNNNNNNNNNNNNNNNNNNNNNNNNNNNNNNNNNNNNNNNNNNNNNNNNNNNNNNNNNNNNNNNCCGAAACCCUGAACCGAAUCAUCAGAGCUCUUGUUGCCGCAUCACCGACCCAUCGUCCGGGUGGGUGCCGCGUCAGUCCCUCAGGCUCUACGGUGCCGCCAAUCCAUUGGCUUGGAUUCAGUUGUGCCAUGGGCUGGGAACCGUACAGUGAUGUCUGAUCGGUCGUCCGUGCGGGAGGUUUGGUCGGUCGAGGCCAGGUAUGAGUAGCUCUUGAGCAGGAUGGAUGCAGAGGGCGAUGAUGAUGAUGACGACGAGUGUGGCUGAAAUAAAGGUGUCUAGACAACCUAUAGCCAGCAGUCGGCUAUACUAUUAACCAUGCUCUAAAUAGAAUCGGUGAACGCAUUAGAGUUGCUCUUAGAGCCCACCCUUACUUCUCUUGCAGCCUGUUCAAUUCAUCGCUGAUGCUGGAUGUUCUGUGGCUCGGACGGUCAUCCUGAUGAGUGAUAACCAGGGCAGUUCUCCUCUACACUGAUGGGUAGAUUUUGCAGCAAGAGAUGUGGUUGGGUUUCAAGAUGAAAUGCAAAACUGAGCCAUCUUCUUUUGCUUAUCCUCUCUCUCUCAAACCCUAAACCAAAUCAGUUGAGUUCUCAUUGCCGACUCGUUGACCAAUCGUCUGUGUGGUUGGUGUGUCAGUUCCACACCGCUACGGCGCCGCCACCGCUAUCCCAUUGGCUUCGAUUCGGGUGCGGCGUGGGCUGGGAACCGUACGGUGUUGUCUGAUGCGUCGUCUGAGCAGGAGGGUUGGUCUGUCGAGGCCAGGUAUGAGCAGCUCCUGAGAUGGUGGACGGAUGGAUGUAUGCAUGCAUGUAUGUAUGUAUAUCAUGGUCAUGUUGCUUGUGGUUCGGUGUCCUUUUUGGAAAAAACUGAGGGGCGAUGAUGAUGCCUGUGGCUGAAAUAAUUAUGUCUUGAGCAAUCAGGACAUCUGUGGUGCGUGGGUACUAAAUAGGGCCUGAACGGGUGCUUGCGUUGGAGAUGCCCUUAAGGGCCCUCCCUUGGCUCUCUUGCAGCCUGUUCAAUUCAUUACCAAUUUUGGAUGUUCUGCGCCGCGGACGGUCAUUCUGUUGAGUGAUAACCAGAUCAGUUCUCUUGCAUCAAGAUGGGUAGAUUAUGCAGCAAGAGAUGCGGAGUGUUGGGCUUCAAGAUGAAACACAAAACUGAGCCCUCUUUUGAUAUGCUACAAAUACUAAAGUAGUGAUCUAAACGCUCUUAUAUUUCUUUACGGAGGGAGUAUUUGUGAACAUAGGGAGUAUCUAUCUAUCAGGGGCGAUGAUGAUCAAACAUGGCUGAUAUAAACCUGUCUUCGAUUAUUCAAGAAGCUGUGGGUAUCAAAAACCAUCUCUCCCCUCUUUUGGGACCUUUUCAUUCUCACCAAAUAUUGAUGGCUCUGUCUUGGAUGGUCAUUCUGUUAAGUAAUAACCAGCAGAGCUUGACUUCAAUGUUGGGGGUUGAUCUGGUGAAAGAAGAUGGGGCUAGUGUGAUCUAUCAAAGGCGAAUCUGAGCCCUCCUACAUCCGAUUCAUAAAAAAGUUGGAACAUCUUAUAUUUGUGAACUGAGGGGAGUAUCUAUCUAUCUAUCUAUCUAUGAGGGGCAAUGAUGAUCAAACAUGGCUGACAUAAACCUGUCUUUGAUUAUUUGAGGAGCUUUGGGUAUAAAAAACCCUCUCUCCCCUCUUUUGGGACCUUUUCAUUCUCAACGAAUAUUGACGGCUCUGUCUUGGAGGGUCAUUCUGUUGAGUGAUAACCAGCAGAGCUUGACUUCAAUGGUGGGGAAUGAUCUGAUGAAAGAAGAUGGUGGGGAUAGUAUGAUCUAUCAAAGGCAAAUCUGAGCCCUCCUACAUCCGGUUCAUAAAAAAGUUAGAACAUCUUAUAUUUGUAAAUAGAGGGAGUAUCUAUCUAUCUAUCUAUCAGGGGCGAUGACGAUCAAACAUGGCUGACAUAAACCUGUUUUUGAUUAUUUAAGGAGCUGUCGGUAUCAAACACCUGCUCUCCUCCCCUCUUUUGGGACCUUUUCACUCUCACCGAAUAUUGACGGCUGUCUUGGAUGGUCAUUCUGUUGAGUGAUAACCAGCAGAGCUUGACUUCAAUGGUGGGGGAUGAUCUGGUGAAAGAAGAUGGUGGGGCUAGUAUGAUCUAUCAAAGGCGAAUCUGAGCCCUCUCAAUGCAACUUAUAUUGUGCGUAAAAAGUUAGUAUGUUUAAUAAAGGUAAUAAAUUGUUGUGGUGUUUGGUUUGCCUUCUCAUGAUUUUGUGGUUCAUGGAGGGAACCAGUUUGGUGCUUUCAGGCUUUGCUCAAGCUCGUCUCGUUGUGGUGGUCCUUGUACCGGUAGUGUUUGAAUGUGUUUACUCCCUUCUUUUCGUGGGGUUAAAUGUGUGAAGCAUGGUCAGCAAAUGUUUGCCCUCUUUUCCUGUCUAUGCAUGUCCUCUUUUUCGUCCCCUUAUUUUUUUACUGGUUCUUAUGGCAGUGAUGUAAAUUCAAGUCGGCAAGUUGUCAACAUUUUUUCUACUGUUUUAGCAUAGCACAGCAACUGCUAAUUGGCCUUUAAGAAUACAAUUUGGCCGGUUUGCUUUUUGCUGAUGACCAUUCUAAUGCUUAUACAAGCCAAUGCGUGGAAAACCACAAAAAUCUUGUGUUGCGAAAAUACCACUUCUAUCUUUUCCUUUUUGAGAAUUUGUCUUUCUUGCCAAGCUUGUAUCCAUGUAUACAUAAAAGAUAUGUUGAGAGUUUGGUUUUGGUUUUAGUUCUUUUGGUAUGCAAAGGACUGUUUUGCAAGUUAACGUUUUGGAUGCCGCCUGUGCGGGAGGCGUCCGCGGCGGCGCGGGCUGGGGAACGAGCGGCGGGGCCCAUGCUGCGCUCCGGUCGAGGGCUUGGUCGGGCCGGCGCGGGAUCUGAGCUGCCGUCGAUGGAUUUCUGGCAGCUUGGCUGCAUGUAGCUUUGGAUUCGGUAACAUCCCCAUCUCUCCGUCUCUGACCCCCCCCCCCCCCCNNNNNNNNNNNNNNNNNNNNNNNNNNNNNNNNNNNNNNNNNNNNNNNNNNNNNNNNNNNNNNNNNNNNNNNNNNNNNNNNNNNNNNNNNNNNNNNNNNNNNNNNNNNNNNNNNNNNNNNNNNNNNNNNNNNNNNNNNNCUGACCCAUUGUCCCGAGAUGGCCCCUGCGUCAGUUCCACACCGCUACGGCGCCGCCAGCCACCGCCGUUCCAUUCCCUUGGGUUCAGUUGUGGCGUGGGCUGGAGCCGUACUCUGUUGUCUGAUGCGUCGUUGGAGCGGGAGGUUUGGUCGGUCGACGCCAGGUAUGAGCAGCUCCUGAGCAGGAUGGAUGGAUGAAUGCAUCCAUGUGUCGUGAACUAAAAUCACGACACUUAUUUGGAACGGAGGGAGUAGUAUGUAUGGAUGUCAUGGUCAUGUUGCUUGGUGUGCAGUGCCCGGCCGGGGGAUUGAACCCCCUUUUCGAAAAAUGAAAAUAAUGAGGGGCAAUGAUGAUCAUGACGAUGACUGAAAUAAUCAUGCCUUGAGCAAUCAAGACAGCCGUGGUGUGGUGGUACUAAACAGAGCUGAAAAAAAAACGGUGUCUGGGUUGGAGUUGCCCUUAGAGCCCACCCUUACCUCUCUUGCAGCAUGUCCAAUUCAUCGCUGAUGUUGGAUGCUUUGUGCCUCGGAUGGUCAUUCUGUUGAGUGAUAACCAUGGUAGUUCUCUUACAUCGUGAUGGGUAGAUUAUGAAGCAAGAGAUGUGAGGGUUGGGCUUGAAGAUGGAAAGACAAAAACCGAGCAUCUUUUGCUAUAUAUCUCUCUCAAAUCCUAAACUAAAUCAGUUGAGCUCUCAUUGCUGACUCGCUGGAUCUGGGCCGCCAUCGAUGCAUUUCUCGCAGCUUGGCUGCAUGUUGCUUUGUAUUCGGUACUAUCCCCAUCUCUCUCUCUCUUUCUUUCUCUCUCUCAGACGCUCACACACACUUGCUCUAGUAAAGCCUAACCCUCAACCGAAUCAGGCGAGCUCUCGUUGCCGGAUCUCUGACCAUCGUCCCGGUGGCCGCUGCACACCACUACGACGCCGCCAGCCACCACUGUUCCAUUGCCUUGGAUUCGGUUGUGGCGUGAGCUGGAACCGUGCUCUGUUGUCUGAUGCGUCGUUCGAGCGGGGGGUUUGGUUGUUCGAUCAACUUAUGAAAAAGGGUCAAAACACGAAAUUUAGCCUUUGGGUUGUGGCCGCGUCACUUCACUGCUGUGGUGCUGCCAGCCUCUGCCGUUCCAUUGCCUUGGAUUUGGCUGUGGCGUGGGCUGGGAACCGUGCGGUGUUGUCUGGUGCGUCGUCAGGUUUGGUCGGUCCAGGCGAGGCAUGUGUAGCUCCUGAGGCUGAUGGGGAUGGAUGGACAUGUGCACGCAUGUACUUCCUCCGUUCCUAAAUAUAAGUCUUUCUAGAGGUCUCAAUAUGAACUACAUACGGACAUGUGCUCGCAUGUACUUCCUUCGUUCGUAAAUAUAAGUCUUUUUAGAGAUCCCAAUAUGGACUACAUACGGAGCAAAAUGAGUGAAUCUACACUAUAAAUCAUGUCUAUAUACACCCGUAUGUAGUACGUAUUGAAAUCUCUAAAAAGACUUAUAUUUAGAAACGGAGGGAGUAUGAUCUAAAUGCUCUUAUAUUUCUGUACAGAGGGAGUAUGUAUGUAUGUAUGUAUGUAUGUAUGUAUGUAUGUAUGUAUGUAUAUCAGGGUCAUGUUGUGCCUGGUGGGCAAAGACCGGUGGUACAACCUCCUUUUCGGUAAAAAAUGAAGGGCGAUGAUGAUGACUGUGGCUGAAAUAAGCAUGUCUUGAGCAAUCAAGAUAGCUGUGGCCUGUGUGUACUAAAUUAGAGCCCACCCUUUCCUCCCUUGCAGCCUGUCCAAUUCAUCGGUAACGUUGGAUGUUCUGCACCUUGGACGGUCAUUCUGAUGAGUGACAACCAGGGCAGUUUUCUUACAUUUUGAUGGGUAGAUUAUGCAGCAAGAGAUGUGAGUGUUGGGUUUGAAGAUGAAAUGCAAAACUGAGCCNNNNNNNNNNUUUGCUUAUGAUCCUUGUAUCCCCUCUCUCUCUCCCUAAAACAAAUCAGUCAAGUUCUCAUUGCCGGCUUGCUGGCCCAUCGUCUCUGUGGCUGCCAUGUCAGUUCCCUGUCUUUACGGUGCUGCCAGCCGCAACCAGUCCAUUGCCUUGGAUUCGUUGUGGUGUGGCUGGGAACCGUAAGGCGUCGUCUGAUGCGUCGUCCACACUGGGAGGUUUGGUCGGUUGAGGCCAGGUAUGAGCAACUCCUGAGACUGUCUAAGUUACUCACCACUAUGGCCAGCCUGAUGGAUGGAUGGAUGGAUGGAUGGAUGGAUGGACGGACGCAUGCAUGCAUGUAUGUAGGGAUAGUAUGGUCAUGUUGCUUGGGGUUUGACCUCCUUUUCAAAAAAAAAAAAGGGGCGAUGAUGAUGCCUGUGGCUGGAAUAAUUAUGUGUUGAGCAAUCAAGACAGCUGUGGCGUGUGGGUACUAAAUAGGCCCCGAAUGGGGCCGGAGUUGGAGAUGCCCUUAAGAGCUCACCCUUACGUUUCUUGCAGCCUGUUCAAUUCAUGGCUAAUGUUGGAUGUUCUGCGCCUCGGAUGGUCAUUCUGAUGAUUGAUAACCAGGGCAGGUCUCUUACAUCGCGAUGUGUAGGUUAUGCAGCAAGAGACGUGAGUAUUGGGCUUGAAGAUGAAAGGCAAAACUGAGCCCUCUUUUGCUACGCUACAAAUACUUAGUUUUUCCUUCUCUACUAUACAUUGUUUUUUAUUUUCUGUUCCUCUCUAUUGUGUUGAUGUGAGAUCUCGAUCUGGAUUGCUAUCUUCUCUUGGUGACGAACCCAACCACCCUGGGUUACUUGGUUUGGUUCCUAGUUGGCGUUGUUUUUGCCUUUAAAGUUGUACAUAUACAUACUAUGUGUCAAACGAUUCUCCUUUUUUCCUCCAAUGCUUGUAGCUAUUGGCAGUUCUAUUCAUGUGGUUAACGAGAAGCUGUUCUCUUGCUUGUCUUGUCCUGCCAGAUGCUUCUUCAAAGACCAAGUUCUGAUCCGUUAUGUCUGUGUUUUUAUAAACUGAAGCUCAAAUUACCUUCGUAUUUGGUUUGGUCAGAGCAGACCUUUUGUUAUGAUUCUCUAUGCUAUUUAGUUCAUUGGUGAUUAGUCUAUUUUCAGCUGCUGCUGUCAAUAUUAACUGUCACAUUUUCGAUGCAUGCGUGUUACAGAUCCCUUGAACGGAUUCGAAAUGAGUGUCAAGUAAAGUUAUCAAAUGCAAAAGUGUAUUUGUUAAAAAGGCUCUUAUAUUUAACUGAAUGUCCUCCUGGAGCUUCCGCUUAGGUCAUUCAUGAUUUAUAUGUUGGGGGCUCGCCCCCUUCUCAUUAUAUAUUUUAAAAUUAAUUUAUUCAGUAUUCUUGCUUUGGUUUUGUUUUCAUUUUGCCAGAGGUUAGACUGACCGGUGUUCAGUUUCAUGGUGGAAUUGCCCACUAUCCAAUGUCACAUGCCUGACUAUUUAGCAUUAGAACCCCAUUUUUCAUGGGAUAAACGGGUGAGCUGCAUUUCCUGCUUUCUGUUUGUAUUAUAUGCAUCCCUUUUUGCAAGCUUAUGCUUUUCUUCUGUUUCAAAACGGAAAGUUUAUGUCAUCCUGUUUUUAUUUGGCUUGUAGUGACUCAACCAAGCCUUUAGUCUCAACACAUGGAUUGCUAGCUUCUACGCACCUCUGUCCAUGGCUAGUUCUUUGGUGAUAUUCCAUGUCCUCCUUUACUAUCCCACCCCUGUCCAUGGCUAGUUCUUUGGUCAUAUUACAUGUCCUCCUGUAUUAUCACUAUUAAAUUUUUACUGGUUCUUUUGGUAGUGAUGUACAUUCAAGUCGGCAAAUUGUGAACUUCUUUUCUACUGUUUUGGUCCAGCACAGCAACUGCUAACUGGCCUCAAGGAAUACAAUUUGCAUGGUUUGCUUUCUGCUGAUGACCAUUUUAAUGUGUAUAGAAGCCAAUACGUUGAAAAACACAAUGUUGUCAUAAGCCUGUAUCUACCUCCUGUUGCAAAAAUACCAUGGCUACCUUUUAUAAAUUGGCCAACUCUGAGCCUCCCGCCUAAUAAAGUUCUGAGUAAAAUUGAGUGUUUCCUUCCCAAAAUUUGAACUGAUCUUUUCCUUUUUGGUAAUUUGUUGUUCUUGCUUGCUUGCAUCCAUGUAUACAUAAAAGAUAUGUUGAGAGUUCGGUUAUGAUAUUAGUUCUUUCGGUAAAAUCAUGGGCUGGUGGAUGCAAAAGUAGUUUUGCAAGUUUAUAUUUUCGCCUUUUUUCCUACACAUUUUGUUGGUUUUGCAGUAUGUCAACCGGUUCUGUUGUUUUAGGAACAGUACUCCAGGCUCACUUAAUUCUUGUCUCUCUCUUUUUUUUUUUUCCUUUUUUGUUCUUCCUUUUUCUUGAAUGGCUAUGAUAAUUCUGCUGUGCCUUGGAUGGUAAUCUUAUUUGGUGCUGGGUCAGUUUGCUUGUUUCAAUUGCUAUUUGACUUGAUAAUUUUGUUCUUCUAUUGUACUCUUUAUUAUCUACUUAUCAGUUUGUAGUUUUGGUUUCUCUUUAGGCCGCGCUUGGGAUGGUUGUAUUUCAAUACGGGGGUAUUUAGUUUACACUUGUAUUUUACUGGCUGCUGAGGCCGUGUUUGAGUUGUCGUUUUCUUUCCAAAUACGUCUGUAAACAAUACAGAUCUCCAUCCGUCGUUUCGCUUCCAGCCGGGAAUCUCUAUUAGCUCGGUAAAUCACACCUGUAAAUUAAAUACAUUUGUAUCUAAAUACACCCAUUCCAAGCGGGGCCUGAACAAUUUCUGGCUGAAAACAAAACGAUGGCCCGAGGUCCGUAUUUUUUACACGUGUAUUUGAAACGGAAACCUGUACUUCUUUACUGGUUUCAACUUAAGGGUCGCAUAUAGCAAGUUCAGCUGUCAAAAUUACUGUCUUCUUUGUGUCACAUUCCUGAAUGGCUGUGAUGAUAUAACCUCCCUAUGAGAGCUAUCUAACACCUGAAUUGAUUUACUUGGUGCUAAACUAGGAUGGCUUGUGUCAAGCAAGUAACCAGUUUAGCGGCUAACUCCCUCAGUUCAUUGGAUUUUUCAGUAUGGACUACGCACGGACUGAAAGGAGUGACUAAACACACUAAAAAUAUACACCCGAUUAAGAAAAAAGUUAGAACAUCUUAUAUUUCUGAAUGGAAGGAGUACUGUUAAACGUUGGAAUUAAGAAUCCACUUAACAGUGUGUAGAGACGGACAAUGGAGAUUACAUGAUCCUUCUACUUAUGGUGGCAAGAUGGCGUUAUAUUUGAGCCAUUUACUUAUACAUGUCCCAGUUUUAUGUGUCCACCAGUUCAUGGUUUGCUCCUGGUAUUGUUUCUUUCUGCAAUCACUGAUUCUCCUAUGAUUUCUUGUCAUCUUGUGCUCUUUGACUAUUGGCUUCUUUGUAAUUCUCUUUGUGGUAUUUGCGCCAAAGUGCUGUUGAUGGCGAUAAUGAGUAAUGUUCAUUCAGAGGUGUAUUUAGAUCAGAUAUCAUCACUUGUUUAUAUGGUAUGUUUUAGGGUUAGGGUUUUGUGUGACUAGGUGGAAGUGUGCAAAUCGGGACGGCUUGCUUUCUCAUUUGAAUGCUGAAAUGUCACACAGGGAUGUAAGGGCAUCUGCAAUGCGGAUCAAUGCGGAUCACCAGGGGUGUAAGGGCAUCUGCAAAGCGGAUCACCAAGUGUAUCGGAUACAGAGUGGGUUCUGCCCAUAUGAGAGCCUCCUUUUUUUUUAAAUAAAUACGACCUCUACUUUUGAAUAUUAUUGGUUUUGAUUCUUCUCAAUCUAUUAAUGAUUUAUAGCAGUAUUGGGAUCUCAUUGUAAUAUACUCCCUUCGUAAAGAAAUAUAAGAGCGUUUAGAUCACUAAGUAAUCUACGACACUUACAAGAUAUGCUCAUUGCAAACUGGAUUUUGUUCUAUUUUACACUUGCAUACUCAGAAUGCGUUGAAUUACUCAUGCAUCAAGAGGUUGUACUUUAUUUGAAUAAAAAGCAAUCCUAUGUGCUGAGGGCCCUGGGAAGCGGCAGAGGGCGUAUUUUGCUUUGCGAGAACUACAGGUGUUCCUGGGUUUGCGCAUGUUCAUAUUCUCGACUAUUUUCUCACCAUAUACAUGUUCAGUGUUGCUGUACGUACACAUAGAUAAUGCCCGUUGCUAUACAUACACAUCUAUAAUGCCAACAUACGCAUAUAUAAUGCCCAGUACAUAACUAUCUGUACGUGAGAUUUUCAUUAUUCAUUACUUGGAGGCAUGGUGUUGAUAAUCUAAAUAUUGAGCUUCCUCAUACAGUAUGUCUCAUCAUACAGUUUCAUCUGGGUUCUGAAGUUGCGCCUCAUACGUACCGGGCAGUUGGAAUACACAGCACCGCCUGCAAAGGUUCCAACUCCUCUUGUGAAGCUAACCAUUUGGCCCUUCCGAAAAGAAAUCUGACUCUGUCCGAAAUCCUGACCAUGUGGUAUAUGGAGAUGAUUUCUGACACCCGAAGAAGAAUUGAAUAUCCUAAUCCAAGAGAAAAAUUGCCUCUGUUCUCAACAAGUGCAGGUGCCAAAGGAUCAUAUUUCAAUCGCUCCACGCAUCCUAAGUUCUUUCAGAAUAGUCCAUACGAUAGCCCUUGCACCUCGCCCUCUCCUUAGUUCUGAACUCAAGAACAAGCAAUAUGUUACUCUCGAGUACUAUAUGAAAGCCGAAAGAUAUUAUCUCAUGAAUUUCCAAAUAUCACCGCUACGCGAGAGAUUGGCUGUUACGCAAAAUUGCUUCAAGAGCUGGAUGAUUUUUGCCCCACCAAAGUGUUUGCAUUUGAGCAUCCCUUGAACCGCGAAACUGCAGAGAUUGGCUGUUACGCAAAAUUGCUUCAAGAGCUGGAUGAUUUCUGCCCCACCAAAGUGUUUGCAUUUGAGCAUCCCUUGAACCGCGAAACUGCUCUCCAGUUUUAUGCCACUCUGUACAUUUUUCAAGAAGAGGAUGACAACUCCAAGUGGAUCAUGGAAUGGAUGACCUAAGAAAAACGCAUCAAGUGCACAUCAACUGACUUCGUGUCACACUUUCAUUUUCCUCGUUUUGAGCAUGUCAAACAAAAUAUUCGGGUCCAUAAAUUGAUGUCAUCACUGAUGAAGAGUUUCGAUGCACCAGAGUUGCAGAAAAGAUUCAGGACUACUAUGGUUCUUCUUGUCCCGAACACCUAUUUUUUUAUCAUGCCAUGAAGACUGUCUAUGUUGCCAAGGCCACUCACAAGUGUUUCGUUCCUCCUGUGCGCGAUACACUACAAGUUAUGGAAGAUUUUACCUCGGGAAAAUCUCCUGCCCCAAUCCAAGAUGACAAUCCAAGAUUGUCAUCGCCAAUUUGUUGGCCCUCGUCUACCUCAACUCGGAAGGAUUGCUUCCCCUCUGCCGCCUUCUCAACUUGAAGUUAGCUUGCACACUCAGCAAGUUCUCGUGAAACAUAUUGAGGAAGAUUACUCCGAGAAAGAACACUUAGUCACACAGCUCAAUUUCAUCAACAACCUCACUCGUGUGAUGCACUUAAUCGCUCAUGAGAAUAAGAAGAGGCUUUGUAAAUUUCUUUGCAAAUUCUUCAUCAAAAAGCAACUCAUGAAUGCGAACCUUCAAGAGCUUUGUGAUUAUAUUGACAAGGGUUUCUCUAUCAAAGAUUUCCAAGAUCAAAGUGUUCCAUCUCUACCUGCUCGUGAACCUACAACUCAUCUUCUUCAUCCUAAGAUUUACAAGCCGCUCGAAGAAUAAAAGGCCAUGUCUCCUACUGUGAAACCAUCUGAAGGCCAAGCUCUCACUCGUAUUCCGCCUGAAGUUGAUCCACUUGUGCCUAGCUCCUCUACUCAGCACGCAGAAAAUCCUCGAGAAGAACCCACUUCCGUCGACACCCAAGAAGCUCCUACAAUGCGAGUCACAUCUGUAGAUGAAGGAUCUUCAGCCAGCUCUUCUAUAAAUUCCUCAGAGUAGUCUUCAUUGAGCGCUUCAUGCCUCAUGUUAUUCGUCACCUUUUUGACACUCGUUGACAAAAGAGGAGAAUUACAUCAAGUUUCUGAUAGAUUUAUCUUUUGGCGUUCAUCUAGAUUUGUUUUCCCUUGAGUUUGCAACUGUCCUUCAAUGUUUGUAUACUGUGUUGCUCUCUUUGGACAUUGUCAAUCAAAAAUGGACAUCCAAAUGAGUACCCAUCUCGUCUUGAACAGUCCAUGGUUUUAGAACAUUUGCCCCAUUGAAUCAUUGAGACCAGCCAUGCGAUGUCUUUCACCGACCACAUUAUAGCUCCUACGCGAAGUGGUUCUACUCAAAGUAGAAUGGACGCACUACACCACGACACUGCAUUUCCAACAAACAGGUUGGUCGAAAAAACAGCCUUUGCCAACACACAGUCGGUCGAGAAAGAGUAUUGUCGACCGAAACCGUCUGUUGGGGUAAGUCCAGACGAGAAAGCCUUUUCCCGACUGAUUGUUUGACGCCUGUAAAUAGCAUUGCUGACCGACUUUCCGAUGGCACAGGAAGGGCUCUUUCCCGACCAACUUGCGGUUGGGGUUUCCGUCGAAUCUUUCCCGACCAACUGUUUGACGACAAAACCUUUCCCAACCGAUUUUCAGCUGAUGUUGGUGUUGAAGCUUUCCCGACCGACCAUUUGACAAUACAGCCUUUGUCGAUCGAUUUUCUGCUAACGUUGGUGUCAAAGCUUUUCCCGACCGACCAUUUGAUAGCACAUAUUUUGCCGACCAACAAUUUGACAGCAUUUUCCUUAGCUGAGCAAUGUUUAAUACCCAUGUACCCUUGUUUUUACAUCUGCCUUACAAUACAAUGUCAAAUCAAGUUGCAUAUCUCAUUACAAGUCAAGUUACAAUAGCUUGCGUAUCUCAUUACUACUCGCGAGUAAAGGAAACAUUUAUGGUUCAAAGAUUGAAUCACCCAACAGGUUUACAGAAUGAUAGAUGCAUGUCCGAUAUUCAUUGUUUGCUCCAUUACACAAAAACCCAGGUGCACAAAAUGAGACCUAAAAGACGCAUUAUUUUUGCUCCAUUACAGAAAAUCUCUAGCGGAUGCAAACUAACAUCUUCCUGGGUCCUUCCUGCUCCUUUUGUAUGUCUUUUCUACAAAGGAUAAAAAUGUCAUGGUGAGCAUGCAUUCAGAGAUGAUGGCAAAAAUAAUAAUUGUAUAAAUCAUAGAUGCAACGUGACCAUGAAGUAUAUUUCAGGAAAUGUGAGCAAUACAGAGGUGUACUCGGAGCAACACAAGGCAACAUAAUUAAGUUGUAUUUCCAUCAUCUGGACAUAAGGCAAAAAUUUAGCAUGUCCAGACUCCCAGCUUUAAUUCAGAAGACAUGGUACUAUUUACUGUGGAGAGCACUACUCGCUACUCCCUCCGUUCCUAAAUAUAAGUCUUUUAAGAGCUUUUACUAGAUGACUACAUACGAAGCAAAAUGAAUGAAUCUACACUCUAAAGUAUGUCUAUAUACAUCCAUAUGUAGUCCUCUAGUAGAAUCCCUAGAAAGACUUAUAUUUAGGAACGGAGGGAGUAGUUUGGUUGGUGCUCGAGAGCAACUACAAAAUUGUGCCAGCCAGCUAUGAACUAUACAUUAACUUAGCCAAACUUUAGAUGAAGAGAAUAACCAAGAAAAUAUAUACCAUCACCAUUUAAGAAGUGGCAAUGAACUAGGUAGACAUUGAAAAUAAGAGAAGAUAGAACAACAUUGAUUGUUAAUGCUCAAUGUACAGAGCUAGAUAGCAACUAUCAUGAGGAAGAAGAUACAAGGGUCUGGUUAUGUUCAUUACGGUCCCUGGUUUUGUAGCUGAAAAAAUAAAUACUAGCUCAUGAAUCAAAUAUACCUUAGCGGCGGGACGAGGAAGAUGCCCCUAGUUUGUAGGGUUUCAUCUAGCAAAGUGAUCAUGAGUCAGUAUCACAUCAAACAAUUCGAGAUAAGUGGACAAAACACACAUUGUUAGUGAUUACCUUGCUAGAUGGCCAUGCAAUGGACCUUGUGACAGCAUCAUCGAUAAUUUGUAAACCGUCAUCUUCAAAAGGCAAAGUAGCAUCCCUUCUUAGGAACCUUGUGGACACGUUUCCCAUCUGCACUCUUCCUUUCAGAUUUGCAUCGUGAAGCCUUACAUUCUGGCAUGAAUUGGCAUUGACAUUGUUCUUCCAAAAUAGAAUGCAAUCAUUUUCAUGCAUGAAUAUUAACAUACCCAAGUCCUAGGCAUUUGACUAGUUUUUUGGCUUUAUUGGAGUUUUUGGGUAUUGCGGACUGAGGGUAAGCAUCUUUGAGUAGAUCUAACAACAGAUCAAAACUUAUGUCAGACCACCCUCCAAGCAGUUUGAUGUGAAGAAGUCUCACUAGGAAACGAAGCUUUGAGAAAUUCCUACAGCCUGGAUAUAGCUCUUCUCUAGAAUCAGCUUCAAGUUUGCGGAGAGAUUGUAGAAAAGAAUCAUCUUGAUCUAAACCACAAUCAUCUUCAAGAUCUCCCCCUUUAUCCAAACCAGCAAGGUCUCUUAGCAAAUCAGAUAUAUCAUCGCCCUCAUCCCUAUCGUCACCCUCAUCUAGAUUUGGAGGAAUGGGAGGAGAGACACGUUCCCUUGCAUACGAGGUGCUCACGGACUUCAAAUUCUUCUCUCCAGUACGAGUUCACACAGUUUUCGCAAGGACAUAAGAUUUUAUUCUCGACCGAUGAUUUACUAAAUGCAUAGCCUAGGAAUUUGGCAUGCUCUUGUAAGUACUUCUGUGUAUGCCUACAUGCAAGUGUACAUGUGCACUGCAUUAUAUAUAUAGUUUCAGCAUCUAAGAAAUUUAAAAAAUACAUGUGGCUGUUAUACCUAGGCGCAUCCAUCCAACUUUUAUCCAUGGUAGCUAGCUUCACACUUAGUUAUUACCAAAUCAACACUAAAUACUAAAAAGAUAAUAUCAUUACCAGAGAAUGCAAGGAAUUACUGCAAGUACUACCAUAAAUAAAAUGGAUCAAAGAUGUGGUUGACUCACCAACUGGUGGAAGUUGUAGUGACAAGCACGCAAGGGGGAUUAUUGUGCCACUACUGUAAGUUGAGUCUUUGGGAGCAAGAAUCCUGAUAACCAACCAAAUGAAAUCUGAUCGUGCCAUACAUUUGAGAUUGUGUAUUAUAUACAAUAAAAUAGCAUGCAAAUAAAAAACUGUUCAAAUAUUUUAAAAAUAGGCUAAAAUUUGUACAUUACAACACAUGAAAAUUAUACAUAAGCAACAUGAGCAUAUGUUCACAUGUACCGGAGAAUAUGAACUCUUCGAAAACAUGAAAAAAUAGGUUCAAAACUAUACAUCACAAUAGCAUAUUAGAAUUGACUUGACAACACCAUGAGCUGUUUAAAACAUGAAAAAUAGGCUAAAAACUGAAUGUAACAACAACAUAUUAUGAUAAGUUUGACAACAACAUUGCAUAUUAUAACAUGUCUAGCUCCAUUGCUACAAAAUUCACAAAGAACACAAAUCGGUUUAGAUCUCACUACCAAGGGACGGCAAGAAUAGCCAGCUGCAGAGCUUCUGUUGCUGAGAGUGCUUUGUCACGGCGCCCGACCUAUCUCCCCGGUUUGCAACAGGUUAAGCCCCAUCAACCCCGGGAUCUGCAGCAGAUUAAGCCCCAGAUUUGCCCUACGCGCGGCCUGACAACGACGAGGUGAUGAGAUAGCACCUGGGCGAAGGAGAAAGUUUGAGCGUGCGGGGCGGCAAGCCAGCAGGGUCGUGCGGCAGGCAAGGCCGUCUCCGGGGUUGGCCACCACAAGCAGCAGCACCUCCGAGACGUGCCCCGCCACGGCUGUAACGCCAUUCCACAGGGCAACUCUCCUCUGCAGUAGGUAGAGAGGCAACCGACACAGUGAAGAACCCGGCGGCGGCGUGGUGGAGCGCGGGGGCGCGGUGGAGAGCCCGAUGGUGGAGGCCAACAAUGCGGUGGAGCGCGGGGGCGCGAUGGAGCACGGGCGAGGGUGGAGAGCCCGGCGGUGGAGACCAACGGCGCGGGAGCGAGGUGGAGGCCAACGGCGCGGUGGAGCGCAGGGCGCGUGGGAGAGCCCGAUGACGGCGUGGUGAAGCGCAGGGGCGCAACGGAGACCCCGGCGGCGGCGUGGUGGAGCGCAGGGGCGUGGUGGAGCGUGGGGGCGCGAUGGAGCACGGGCGAGGGUGGAGAGCCCGGCGGUGGAGGCCAACGGCGCGGGAGCGAGGUGGAGGCCAACGGCGCGGUGGAGCGCAGNNNNNNNNNNUGGGGAAUGAAGUCAGGAAUUUGGCUGUGCGCGGCGUUGGUGAUUUUGGGGAAAACCUUUCGCGCGUUGGGCCGGCUAUUGGCGCGAAAAAAUUGGCUCUUCGCGCGCUAGAGGCCCAUAGCAUCGGACAGUCGGUCGGGGUUAUUUGCCGACUGAUAGUCCAUGGGCCAUAACGGUUUUCCCAAUCGAUACGUGGAUGGUAUAGGAUGUAGCAUUCCCGACCGAUGAUCCAUUAGAAUUUUUUCUAGCUGACUGUCGAUUGGCAAUAGUGCCUUUUUCCCAACACCCGUCAGUAUGUAAUGCAGUGUCGUGGUGUAUUGACGCCAACGAGCAUACCCCCACCGGACCGGUUCUUCUCUUGUGCAUUUAUUUUUCAAGAAACUUCUUCAGCAUUUUAUGCACCGGGCUGACUCAUCGCUUGUUCGUGUAAUCUUUGUCCAGGUUGGUUAGGUGGGGGUAUAUGCUCGAUUGCUGGGGUACAUGAUGGGCAGAUGUAGAUUGAGUAUUGAAAACAAAUCACAUCUUGUGCUUCAUGUCCGGUCCUUCAUGAUCGUGGAACCUAGGAUCAAUAACUUUAAAGUAGCGUUUGCCUUGAUCGAUGGUAGAAGUGAUAUGAGUGCCUAAGGUUUAGGCCUAAUACUUCCCCGUUUCAUAAUGUGUGGUGCCUAUAAAUUAUUUAGGAGUCAAACUUUACAAGUUUGAUCAAGUUUAUAGAAAAUUAUUUAUAUAUACAAUAUCACUUAUAUGUAGUAUGAGAUGUCCACCUCAUGAUACAAAGUAUUCUUUGUAACCCCGGUUAAAGUUUGUCUUUUGAGAUAAUCUAUGUGCAUUGUAUUAAGGAAGACAGGGUAUAUGGGUCAACAUUGAUUAGUUAAGCGACCGACAUGCGCUCAAGGAGUUGUGUCAUUCGAUUCUGUGGAUGAGCACGGUGCCCAUCUAGGCAUCUAUAUGUGGGGCACGCCUGUUCGGCUGAGCGGGGCCAAAGAGAAGAAGCAGCAAAACCUAUACGAGGUCGAGAUGCGCACGUUGGAUGCGGAGCGCGAGAUGGAGGCCGAGCGGUAGCAUGCGGCACACGGGUACAGGAUGCUACAACCGGUCUAGCAGGCGGCGCUAAAUGCAACACAACAGGCAUCGGGAGUUGGCAUCCUUCGGCCUUGUAUCAUGCAAGGUACUUAGAAGAGGUGUUUAAAAAAAACUAGUAUACAAGGUAGACUCUUAGUUAGGCGUCUCUCUUAUAAAAAUAGACACUGGUAUUUGAAAAAAAAAUCCGGUUUAUUUUUUUAAACACUUAGCAUUGUACAAGGCCUUCUAGACUCCUCCCUUUUCCAUGGAUGGAGACAUCGAGGCACGUCCCUAGAUUCAUCGUCUGUCUGUUUUCACAUUUUUAGUUUUAACUGGCAUAAAUGCCCAUGCGUUGAAACGGAAGAAAAUUUGAUAGAAAUUAUAAAAUCUCCCUCUUUUCACAAAUGUGCUUCGAGCGCCAAUCUUCUAUCCAACUCCGACAAAUUAUGUAUGAAUAUGGAUAGAAGAAGGGAAUGAUUAUAAAAACAUUUAGUGCACCAAGUAAUUUUUUCCUAUUCUUCUCUCCUCGAGUAGCGUUAAAAAAGUCACAAUUAGGGUUACUCUUAUUUGUAGUGAUAGUAUAAAAAUAAUGUUAUUGUCGUCAUGUUUACUAGAGUUUUAGUAAAGAAACAAAAACAAAAAUA